CCCUUAGAUGUUCUGGGCUGCACGCGCGCUACACUGAAGCGUUCAACGAGUAUUCACCUUGCCCGGGAGGGUUGGGUAAUCUUUUGAAAACGCUUCGUGAUGGGGAUAGAUUAUUGCAAUUAUUAAUCUUCAACGAGGAAUUCCUAGUAAGCGCGAGUCAUCAGCUCGUGCUGAUUAUGUCCCUGCCCUUUGUACACACCGCCCGUCGCUCCUACUGAUUGAGUGAUCCGGUGAAUAAUUCGGACUGCAGCACUGCUUGGUCUCCAGGCUUUGCAGCGGAAAGUUUAGUGAACCUUAUCACUUAGAGGAAGGAGAAGUCGUAACA
rnacentral:rRNA from 1 species